UAGGGAAUCUUCCGCAAUGGGCGAAAGCCUGACGGAGCAAUGCCGCGUGAGUGAAGAAGGCCUUCGGGUCGUAAAACUCUGUUAUAAGAGAAGAACAAAUUGUAGAGUAACUGCUACAGUCUUGACGGUAUCUUAUCAGAAAGCCACGGCUAACUACGUGCCAGCAGCCGCGGUAAUACGUAGGUGGCAAGCGUUGUCCGGAUUUAUUGGGCGUAAAGGGAGCGCAGGUGGUUUCUUAAGUCUGAUGUGAAAGCCCACGGCUUAACCGUGGAGGGUCAUUGGAAACUGGGAAACUUGAGUACAGAAGAGGAAUGUGGAACUCCAUGUGUAGCGGUGGAAUGCGUAGAUAUAUGGAAGAACACCAGUGGCGAAGGCGACAUUCUGGUCUGUUACUGACACUGAGGCUCGAAAGCGUGGGGAGCAAACAGGAUUAGAUACCCUGGUAGUCCACGCCGUAAACGAUGAGUGCUAGGUGUUGGAGGGUUUCCGCCCUUCAGUGCCGCAGUUAACGCAUUAAGCACUCCGCCUGGGGAGUACGACCGCAAGGUG
rnacentral:rRNA from 1 species